rnacentral:rRNA from 1 species
UACAGAGGAUGCAAGCGUUAUCCGGAAUGAUUGGGCGUAAAGCGUCUGUAGGUGGCUUUUUAAGUCCGCCGUCAAAUCCCAGGGCUCAACUCUGGACAGGCGGUGGAAACUACCAAGCUGGAGUACGGUAGGGGCAGAGGGAAUUUCCGGUGGAGCGGUGAAAUGCGUAGAGAUCGGAAAGAACACCAACGGCGAAGGCGGUCUGCUGGGCCGACACUGACACUGAGGGACGAAAGCUAGGGGAGCGAAUGGG